rnacentral:rRNA from 1 species
UACAGAGGGGCAAGCGUUGUUCGGAAUUACUGGGCGUAAAGGGCGCGUAGGCGGCCCUCUAAGUCGGAUGUGAAAUCCCUCGGCUCAACCGAGGAACUGCAUCCGAUACUGGCGGGCUUGAAUCCGGGAGAGGGAUGUGGAAUUCCAGGUGUAGCGGUGAAAUGCGUAGAUAUCUGGAGGAACACCGGUGGCGAAGGCGGCAUCCUGGACCGGUAUUGACGCUGAGGCGCGAAAGCUAGGGGGAGCAAACGGGG